rnacentral:rRNA from 1 species
AUUGAACGCUGGCGGCAUGCUUUACACAUGCAAGUCGAACGGCAGCGCGGGCUUCGGCCUGGCGGCGAGUGGCGAACGGGUGAGUAAUACAUCGGAACGUGCCCAGUAGUGGGGGAUAGCUCGGCGAAAGCCGGAUUAAUACCGCAUACGACCUGAGGGUGAAAGCGGGGGAUCUUCGGACCUCGCGCUAUUGGAGCGGCCGAUGGCAGAUUAGCUAGUUGGUGGGGUAAAGGCCUACCAAGGCGACGAUCUGUAGCUGGUCUGAGAGGACGACCAGCCACACUGGGACUGAGACACGGCCCAGACUCCUACGGGAGGCAGCAGUGGGGAAUUUUGGACAAUGGGCGAAAGCCUGAUCCAGCAAUGCCGCGUGUGUGAUGAAGGCCUUCGGGUUGUAAAGCACUUUUGGCGGGAACGAAAAGGACUGUGCCAAUACCACGGUUCGAUGACGGUACCCGCAGGAUAAGCACCGGCUAACUACGUG